AACGAACGCUGGCGGCGCGUCUUACCCAUGCAAGUCGAGCGGCAGGCAGCAAUGCCGAGAGCGGCGGACUGGUGAGUAACACGUGGAUAACGUACCCCGAUGUCCGGGACAGCCUGUAGAAAUAGAGGGUAAUACCGGAUAGAUCACUGUUUACGUGAGGUAGACAGCGGGAAAGGAGCUUCGGCUCCGCGACGGGAUCGGUCUGCGGCCCAUCAGCUGGACGGCGGGGUAAAGGCCCGCCGUGGCGAGGACGGGUAUCCGGCCUGAGAGGGCGGACGGACACAUUGGGACUGGGAUACGGCCCAGACUCCUGCGGGAGGCAGCAGGUAAGAAUAUUCCGCAAUGGGGGGAACCCUGACGGAGCGACGCCGCGUGAACGGAGAAGGCCGGAAGGUUGUAAAGUUCUUUUCUGUCCGAGGAAUAAGUUUCGGAGGAAAUGCCGGGACGGUGACGGUAGGGCAGGAAUAAGCACCGGCUAAUUACGUG
rnacentral:rRNA from 1 species